AACUGGGCUGUGUCUACCCUUCAGAUUCUCAAGUAAAGGUUGAAGUCGAGUUGUUAGGCAGCUAUAGAUGAAGGCUUCAACCUUUUAUGUUGCCUUUUUAUGACAAAUUUCACUCUGAAUGCGAUAUAGCAUGAUAAGGGGGCAUAAUGAAACUAGAAUUAUUGCCUCUUGGUUGAAUGCGUCCGACAGCGAGUCAAUUUUCAGGCCUUUAAUGUUUCUUAGGGAAUGACCGCAUAACCGCGAUGAGUACAGAAAAUAUAUCCUUUGUCGUGUCCAUCUCUAAAUAUCUGAAAGAAUCUGUUUCUCUUUAACUAAAAGGAACAUGCAGGCCUCCAUUAAACAGAAGAAGAGUCCCUGGUUCAGUCAUCAACAGGUUGACAUCUUAACAGGAGCUGCUGAAGUGUGGUGUUCACAUGAUGUGAGGUUGUACAGGGGAGAAACUAACAACACUUGAUUUUUUAAAAGUACCAUUUCCAGAUCUUGAGCUGCUGCUAAUGAUACAACACAAUUUCUGUCAAUUGUUUUUACAUUUUCUUCUGCAAAAUUCCUUCAAAUAAAAGCAAACAGAGAGCAUA